AUGCACAUGCAUGAUACUCUACUACCGUACCAUACUUCCACUACGACCAGCCUUCUUUUUUUAGACAAACCAUCCAUUAUAAUCUAUGCCGUCUAUCAUCAAUCGGGCGGUCCAUUUUCGUUUCUUCUCUUUCCUUCAUCUGAAAGCCCAGAUUCAUUCCACUGCAGUCGCCCCCCACUCGUCCAGCCGACCACCCGACCGUCACCUACUCCGGCGAUCCUCACCGCCGGCCCGAUGCCUCCACCACCACCCCGGCACCUGGCCGGAGACCCCAACCCCAAACCCGCGCCCGCCACCUCGCAUUCCGGCAUGGUCAAGCUCCUCGCCGACCUCCUCCACCACACCGUGCCGUCCGCCUGGCCGCCGGCGCUCGCGGCGCCGCUGCUCCGGAGCCGCCUCGCCCCGGCCCACGUUUCCUCGCUCCUCCUCCUCCCGGCCUCGCUCGCCCGCCCGGACCUCUCCCGCCGCUUCCUCCUCCUCCUGCCUCCCCACCUCGUCUCUCCGCUCUGCCUCUCCCUCCUCGCGCUCUCCUUCAUCUCCGCCCCUGCCUCGCCGUCCCGCUCCCGCUCCCCCUCCCCGCACGCCGCCUCCCUCCUGCUCUCCCUCGCGUCCUCCUCCCCGUCCGCCUCCACCUCGUUCUCCUCCCUCUCCCACGCCUCCUCCCUCUCCCCCUUCCCGCCUGGCGCCACCGCCGCCGCCGCCUCGCUUCUCGCCUCCUCCUACCUCCGCCUCCGCCGCGCCCGCGACGCGGCCGCCGUCCUUCACCUCUCCCUGUCCGCCGGCAUCACUCCCAACCAGUAUACGGCUUCCCACAUUUUGUUUUCCCUUGUCAAGAUUCGUCAGUUCACCCUUGCCCGUGCCCUGUUCGAUGAAAUGCUUCGGUCCGGUGCUCGCCUGGACGAGCACAUUUACACGGCUGGGAUUCGGGCUUACUGCGAGGCCAGAAAUCUUGACGGUGCCAAGGGGCUUCUGGCAAGGAUGCAUCAUGAGGGGGUCAAGGUCAGUGUGGUGCCGUACAAUGUAUUGAUUUACGGAUUGUGCAGGAAUCAUCGCAUUCAGGAGGCAGUGGAGGUAAAGAACAGCAUGGUGGCCAGAGGAAUCAAAGCUGAUGAAGUGACUUACCGUACGCUCGUGUAUGGGUUUUGUCGGGCGGAGGAGCUGGAAAUGGCAUUGAGAAUGACAUAUGACAUGGCCAGGCUGGGGUUUGUGCCAUCAGAGGCCAAUUGCUCAUUUAUGCUUGAUGGGCUACGAAAGAGGGGGGAUGUUCGGGAGGCUUUCAGGUUAGCUUGUCAGUUGGGCGAGUUGGGCAUGGUGCCCAACAUAUUUGCAUAUAAUGCCUUGCUUGAUAACCUGUGCAAGAGCGGUAUGUUUUGCGAGGCAGAUCGGCUUUUCAGUGAGAUGGUAGACAGGGGUCUGGAGCCAAAUGAGGUGACUUAUCCUAUAUUGAUACAUUCACUUUCGAAAAGGGGGAUGAUGGAGGAUGCACUUGACCUGUUCGAUAGGAUGAGGGAGAAGGGUGUCAGAGUGACAGUCUAUCCGUACAAUUCCUUGAUUAAUGGUUGCUGCAAACAGGAUGAUUUAGACAGGGCGAUGGGCUUCCUGAGUGAGAUGACUGACAUUGGAGUGACACCAAAUGCAGCUUCAUAUUCUCCACUAAUUGCUGGUUUCUGUAGAAAAGGGGAUCUAACCAGUGCCAUGGAACUCCACCGGGAGAUGGCUCAGAAGGGUGUUGCAUGGAACACUUAUACGUUCACAGCACUUAUCAAUGGUUUGUGCAAGAAUAAAAAGAUGGAUGAAGCUUCUCAGUUGUUUAAUAAGAUGAUUGACAGCAACCUAGUACCAAAUGAAGCAACUUAUAAUGUCAUGAUAGAAGGGUAUUGCCUGGUAGGCAAUAUAAGAAAGGCAUUCCAGUUGUAUGAUCAAAUGGUUGAUAGCGGCCUCACACCUGACAAUUACACGUAUAGACCAUUGAUAACUGGAUUAUGCUUGACCAGUGGAGCGUCGAAAGCAAAGGAAUUUGUUGCUGACCUAGAAAACAACUGCCCGCUGAACAAAUUUAGCCUAACCGCACUUAUGCAUGGAUUGUGCAGAGAAGGAAGGUUGACCGAAGCUUACCAUGUCUGGAAUGAGAUGGCAAUGCAGGGAGUCAAUCUUGAUCUUGUCAGCUUCACCAUUAUUGUGUAUACAGCCUUGAAGCACCAUGAUACGGAAAAAUCAUGCGUGUUAUUGAGGGAGAUGACAGAAAAAUGUGUCAGGCUAGACAGUGUGUUCCAUACAUGCAUGAUUGACAUGCACUCAAAAGAAGGAAAUAUGGUCCAAGCUUUAAACUGUUGGGAUAACAUGAUUACUGAUGGCUGCUUUCCAAAUACCAUCACAUAUACAGUUUUAGUAAAUAAUCUCUGCAAGUCCGGGCAUUUGAGCAGCGCAGAGGUCCUCUGUAAAGAAAUGUUAUCCAGUCAGUUCCUUCCUAACAAUUAUACUUUUAAUUGUUUUCUUGAUUGUUUUACAACUGAAGGUAAACUGGAGAAAGCUAAAGAUCUUUAUUUCGCCAUGCUUCGAGGCUCUCUUGCUAACACAGUGACAAUUAACACAUUGAUCAAGGGGUUAUGUAAGGUUGGGCAGAUUCAAGAGGCAAUUGACCUUAUUAGUAAGUGUACUGAAAAUGGUCUUUUUCCUGAUUGCAUUAGCUAUUCUACUGUAAUACAUGAGCUCUGCAAGAAGGGUGAUACAAAUAAAGCGUUUGAGCUUUGGAAUGAAAUGCUGUACAAGGGAUUGAAGCCUGACAUUGUAGCAUAUAAUAUUUUGAUAAGGUGGUGCAAUGUUAAUGGUGAACUUGAGAAGGGUUUGGGAAUAUACAAUGAUAUGAUUAAGAAAGGGGUGCAACCGAACUGGUGCACAUAUAGAGCUCUUUUCUUAGGAAAUUCUCUGAUGACCAGCAAGCGAGAUACUAUACUGCUGAAUACC
rnacentral:rRNA from 1 species